CCAGUGUUACGGUCUGUCGCUUGCACAUGAUUUCAUUGCAAGAGGAAAGUCCGGGCAGCACAGGGCACUCCGCUGUCGAAAUGACAGCUAUUGGUGACAGUAGGCUAAAGUAGAAGAAAACAACCGCUCCACAUCCCGUGGAGUAAGGGUGAGAAGGUGAGGUAAGAGCUCACCGGCAGGCGGGUGAUCGUCUGGCCGUACUUGCCGGAGGCUGCAAGUUCAUGUAAACUGCCGUUUGAGGGUAGCCCGUCCAAGGCAGAGGGUAGAAUGCUUAGAUAAAUGACAGACACUCCCCCAUCCCAACCCUAGGAGUACAGAACCCGGCUUAUAGUGAUACUGACUUU
rnacentral:RNase_P_RNA from 1 species